rnacentral:rRNA from 1 species
AAAAGCUCGUAGUCGGAUUUCAGGGUUGUUCGUUGAUUUCUUUCAUAGUGUCAUCUAACAAUUCUUCUUUAACAGAAGGGUUCUUGGCUUUCAUUAGCUGAGUUCUUCAACUGUUUCUUUUACUUUGAGAAAAUUAGAGUGUUCAAAGCAGGUUUAUCGCCUGAAUAUUACUCUUGGAAUAAUAAUAUAGGACUCUGGUUCUAGUUUGUUGGUGAUCUGGUGCCGGAGUAAUGAUUAAUAGCGACGGUUGGGGUCAUUCGUACUGCAAAGCGAGAGGUGAAAUUCUUGGACCUUUGUAUGACGAACAACUGCGAAAGCAUUUGACUAGGACGUUCGCGUUGAUCAAGAACGAAAGUUGGGGGAUCGAAGACGAUCAGAUACCAUCGUAGUCUCAACCAUAAACUAUGCCAGCUAGGGAUGAGCGAAUGUUAACUACUGACUUCGUUUGCACCUUAUGAGAAAUCAAAGCAUUUGGGUUCCGGGGGGAGUAUGGUCGCAAGGCUGAAACUUAAAGGAAUUGACGGGAGGGCACCACCAGGAGUGGAGCCUGUGGCUUAAUUUGAUUC